rnacentral:rRNA from 2 species
AAAUUGAAGAGUUUGAUCAUGGCUCAGAUUGAACGCUGGCGGCAGGCCUAACACAUGCAAGUCGAACGGUAACAGGAAGCAGCUUGCUGCUUCGCUGACGAGUGGCGGACGGGUGAGUAAUGUCUGGGAAACUGCCUGAUGGAGGGGGAUAACUACUGGAAACGGUGGCUAAUACCGCAUAACGUCGCAAGACCAAAGAGGGGGACCUUCGGGCCUCUUGCCAUCAGAUGUGCCCAGAUGGGAUUAGCUAGUUGGUGAGGUAACGGCUCACCAAGGCGACGAUCCCUAGCUGGUCUGAGAGGAUGACCAGCCACACUGGAACUGAGACACGGUCCAGACUCCUACGGGAGGCAGCAGUGGGGAAUAUUGCACAAUGGGCGCAAGCCUGAUGCAGCCAUGCCGCGUGUAUGAAGAAGGCCUUCGGGUUGUAAAGUACUUUCAGCGGGGAGGAAGGUGUUGUGGUUAAUAACCACAGCAAUUGACGUUACCCGCAGAAGAAGCACCGGCUAACUCCGUGCCAGCAGCCGCGGUAAUACGGAGGGUGCAAGCGUUAAUCGGAAUUACUGGGCGUAAAGCGCACGCAGGCGGUCUGUCAAGUCGGAUGUGAAAUCCCCGGGCUCAACCUGGGAACUGCAUUCGAAACUGGCAGGCUUGAGUCUUGUAGAGGGGGGUAGAAUUCCAGGUGUAGCGGUGAAAUGCGUAGAGAUCUGGAGGAAUACCGGUGGCGAAGGCGGCCCCCUGGACAAAGACUGACGCUCAGGUGCGAAAGCGUGGGGAGCAAACAGGAUUAGAUACCCUGGUAGUCCACGCCGUAAACGAUGUCUACUUGGAGGUUGUGCCCUUGAGGCGUGGCUUCCGGAGCUAACGCGUUAAGUAGACCGCCUGGGGAGUACGGCCGCAAGGUUAAAACUCAAAUGAAUUGACGGGGGCCCGCACAAGCGGUGGAGCAUGUGGUUUAAUUCGAUGCAACGCGAAGAACCUUACCUGGUCUUGACAUCCACAGAAGAAUCCAGAGAUGGAUUUGUGCCUUCGGGAACUGUGAGACAGGUGCUGCAUGGCUGUCGUCAGCUCGUGUUGUGAAAUGUUGGGUUAAGUCCCGCAACGAGCGCAACCCUUAUCCUUUGUUGCCAGCGGUUAGGCCGGGAACUCAAAGGAGACUGCCAGUGAUAAACUGGAGGAAGGUGGGGAUGACGUCAAGUCAUCAUGGCCCUUACGACCAGGGCUACACACGUGCUACAAUGGCGCAUACAAAGAGAAGCGACCUCGCGAGAGCAAGCGGACCUCAUAAAGUGCGUCGUAGUCCGGAUUGGAGUCUGCAACUCGACUCCAUGAAGUCGGAAUCGCUAGUAAUCGUGGAUCAGAAUGCCACGGUGAAUACGUUCCCGGGCCUUGUACACACCGCCCGUCACACCAUGGGAGUGGGUUGCAAAAGAAGUAGGUAGCUUAACCUUCGGGAGGGCGCUUACCACUUUGUGAUUCAUGACUGGGGUGAAGUCGUAACAAGGUAACCGUAGGGGAACCUGCGGUUGGAUCACCUCCUUACCUUAAAGAAGC